CGUGGCGGCGUGGAUUAGGCAUGCAGUCGAACGAGAACGUAGCAAUACGGGGAAAGUGGCGAAAGGGGCAGUAAGGCAUGGGUAAUCUACCCUGGGGACGUGGAUAGCCAUUCUAACGAGUGGGUAAUACACGGCGAUUCGGCGGAGGGGCAUCCCUUUGCCGGGAAAUGAAUUUCGCCUCGGGAGGAGCUCAUGUGAUAUUAGCUUGUUGGUGAGGUAACGGCUCACCAAGGCUCAGAUGUCUAGCGGGUGUGAGAGCACGACCCGCGCCACUGGCACUGAGACACUGGCCAGACACCUACGGGUGGCUGCAGUCGAGGAUCUUCGGCAAUGGGCGCAAGCCUGACCGAGCGACGCCGGUGUGUGACGAAGGCCUUCGGGUUGUAAAGCACUGUCGAAGGGGGAGGAAGCCGAAAGGUUGACCUAUCCCUGGAGGAAGCACGGGCUAAGUUCGUGCCAGCAGCCGCGGUAAGACGAACCGUGCGAACGUUGUUCGGAAUCACUGGGCUUAAAAGGGCGCGUAGGCGGGCCGCAAAAGUCAGGGGUGAAAUCCUCCAGCUUAACUGGAGAAGUGCCUUUGAUUACUGGGCGGCUUGAGGGAAGGGUAAGGGGCAUGCGGAAAUUGAUGGGUGGAGCGGUGAAAUGUGUUGAUAUCAAUCAGGAAAAUCCGGGUGGCGAAAGCGGGGUGCUGGACCUUUUUCUGAAGCUGAAGGGGGCGAAAGCCAGGGGGAGACAAGGGA
rnacentral:rRNA from 1 species